rnacentral:rRNA from 1 species
UACGGGGGGGGCAAGCGUUGUUCGGAAUUACUGGGCGUAAAGGGCUCGUAGGUGGCCAACUAAGUCAGACGUGAAAUCCCUCGGCUUAACCGGGGAACUGCAUCUGAUACUGGAUGGCUUGAGUUUGGGAGAGGGAUGCGGAAUUCCAGGUGUAGCGGUGAAAUGCGUAGAUAUCUGGAGGAACACCGGUGGCGAAGGCGGCAUCCUGGACCAACACUGACACUGAGGAGCGGAAGCCAGGGGAGCAAACGGG